rnacentral:rRNA from 1 species
AGUGAACGCUGGCGGUAGGCCUAACACAUGUAAGUCGAACGGCAGCACGGGAGAGCUUGCUCCCUGGGUGGCGAGUGGCGGACGGGUGAGGAAUACAUCGGAAUCUACUCUGUCGUGGGGGAUAACGUAGGGAAACUUACGCUAAUACCGCAUACGACCUACGGGUGAAAGCAGGGGACCUUCGGGCCUUGCGCGAUUGAAUGAGCCGAUGUCGGAUUAGCUAGUUGGCGGGGGAAAGGCCCACCAAGGCGACGAUCCGUAGCUGGUCUGAGAGGAUGAUCAGCCGCACUGGAACGGAGGCACGGUCCAGACGCCUACGGGAGGCAGCAGUGGGAAAUAUUGGACAAUGGGCGAAAGCCUGAUCCAGCCAUACCGCGUGGGUGAAGAAGGCCUUCGGGUUGUAAAGCCCUUUUGUUGGGAAAGAAAUCCAGCUGGCUAAUACCCGGUUGGGAUGACGGUACCCAAAGAAUAAGCACCGGCUAACUUCGUGCCAGCCGCCGCCGUAA